UCGGAUAUGGCGUAACGGAGAACAUUACCGCCUUUCAUGUUCCGGUACGUAUGUGCUUGUUAUACGCGGUAGCUCAGGGUUCGAUUCCCUAUAUCCGAA
rnacentral:tRNA from 1 species